rnacentral:rRNA from 1 species
GACGAACGCUGGCGGCGUGCCUAACACAUGCAAGUCGAGCGAUGAAGCUCCUUCGGGAGUGGAUUAGCGGCGGACGGGUGAGUAACACGUGGGUAACCUGCCUCAUAGAGGGGAAUAGCCUCCCGAAAGGGAGAUUAAUACCGCAUAAUGUAUGAGAAUCGCAUGAUUUUUGUACCAAAGGAGUAAUCCGCUAUGAGAUGGACCCGCGGCGCAUUAGCUAGUUGGUGAGGUAAAGGCUCACCAAGGCGACGAUGCGUAGCCGACCUGAGAGGGUGAUCGGCCACAUUGGAACUGAGACACGGUCCAG